AGUGCGAGCUAAUGGUGAACAAGGUAAUCCCAUUUCAUGUUUAUAAUCUCAAUUUAGUAUAUUUGUUUCGUCUUUCUUCGUUUCAAGCCAUUUAUGUGAUUCUUAUUGUUACUUGCUAAGAUUUGGAGUAUUUUUCCAAAAAAUUUUAAUUUUUCUUGGAAAAUUUCUUGUAAUGUCUCAACACUUAGCUUGCUGCUGAGUAAACAUUAUGGUAAUGUCUCAACACUUGGCUCGCUGUUGAGUAAAAA
rnacentral:misc_RNA from 1 species